ACCAGCCUGGGAAGGGAGCGCCGGGUCCUCGGCCCUGCCACCACCAUCAGCCCUUGAGCUUUGAGCUCAGGUCUAGAGGUGAACAGAGCAGUCACCGGGCGACUCAGACGGGCCAGCGCUCAGGGUCCUUGGAUAUAUGCCUAGAGAAAGGCCAUGCGGAGAGUCCUCGGUGCACAUGGUUCUGAGUUGGUUCCUUUUCCCAUAAUUGCUUUGCUUUUACACAUUGAAGAGGUUUGAACAGGGCUCUCAGUCACCCUGACCACCCAUCGGGUCUGGUGUGGAGCCUGACAGCUGGAGCAGGAAGCCCUGACCCUGCAGACUCGGGUUUCAGUGUUGGUCCUCAGACCCUCGGCAGGGACCCAGAGGAGCUCUGUGUCACCACGUUCGCAGAUUUUUGCAGAUCGGUGGGCCUGGCUCCUGGCUCAUUGCCACGCUCCCCACUCUGUUCAGGACCACUAAAUGUUGAAAUGUGGAUGCAUACUGAAAUAAAGGCAAUUCGUUGUGUU
rnacentral:lncRNA from 1 species